rnacentral:rRNA from 1 species
UACAGAGGGGGCGAGCGUUGUUCGGAAUUACUGGGCGUAAAGGGCGCGUAGGCGGCCAACUAAGUCAGACGUGAAAUCCCUCGGCUCAACCGGGGAACUGCGUCCGAUACUGGAUGGCUUGAGUUUGGGAGAGGGAUGCGGAAUUCCAGGUGUAGCGGUGAAAUGCGUAGAUAUCUGGAGGAACACCGGUGGCGAAGGCGGCAUCCUGGACCAACACUGACACUGAGGAGCGAAAGCCAGGGGAGCAAACGGG